rnacentral:rRNA from 1 species
UACGUAGGGUGCGAGCGUUUGUCCGGAUUUAUUGGGCGUAAAGAGCUCGUAGGCGGUUUGGAUAGUCGGGUGUGAAAACUCCGAGCUUAACUCGGAGACGCCACCCGAUACUGCCAUGACUAGAGUCCGGUAGGGGAGCAGGGAAUUCCUGGUGUAGCGGUGAAAUGCGCAGAUAUCAGGAAGAACACCAAUGGCGAAGGCAGCUCUCUGGGACGGUACUGGACG